AUCUCUUAAUAAACCUACAAUCGUAAAAAUAAAACAAAUGCACAUUUACCGAAUUCAUGCCAACCUUAGAGAUAAUUAACGAUGAAGAAAAAGGACCAAAAACUAAUGUUAAAAAAAAUUAGAAUCGCCAGUAACCAGGGGAUUUUCGGCUAGAAGGAAAGAAAGAAAGAAAAAAAAGAACGUGGAGAAAGGGAAAAUUGUAGAAAAAAUUCAGCAGAGAGCGAAUGGAAUGCUUUGGGUAACUCCCAAAUCCCUUAUUUUGCUCCCGCUAAACCUCAAUUGUUGCAAAUACUCAGUAUCCCAAGCCAACUCAAACACUUCCACGGCAUUAGCAGCAAAAAUACUGCCUCCGUUUAGUCUCG
rnacentral:lncRNA from 1 species